rnacentral:sRNA from 1 species
AACAUGAUGAAAUAAAAAGUGAGCAAGUUAGAUAGAUGGUGGCUAAUCUCUAGUAUAAAGUGCGGUGGUGCUUAUGAAAGUACUAUUAAAAUCUUUAGAAAGGAGACGCCUUGUGUGGUUUCAAUUGUUUAAGUCGGCAUAUUCAUGUUGGCUUUUUAUUAUGAAAA